rnacentral:tRNA from 2 species
UCUAAUAUGGCAGAAUAGUGCGCCGGUCCUAAGAUCCGAUUAUAAAGAUAAACUUUUUUUAGAA